rnacentral:rRNA from 1 species
GGUUGAUCCUGCCAGUAGUCAUAUGCUUGUCUUAAAGAUUAAGCCAUGCACGUCUAAGGAUAAAUAUUUUUUUAACCGUAAACCUGCGGAUGGCUCAUUAAAUCAGUUACAAUCUACUCUAUUGUAUAAAAUACUUGGAUAACCGUAGUAAUUCUAGAGCUAAUACAUGCAAAAAAUUUGAACUCGCAAGGGAACAAAUGUACUUAUUAAUGUCCAAAAUCAAUACAAGUCAUUCCAAACUCUAGAUUAUACUUUAAUCGGUAUUUUUUAGGGGACUUGUAAAAAAAAAUUGA